rnacentral:rRNA from 1 species
UACGAAGGGGGCGAGCGUUGUUCGGAUUUACUGGGCGUAAAGGGCGCGCAGGCGGCUUGUUUUGUCAGGCGUGAAAGCCCCGGGCUUAACCUGGGAACUGCGUUUGAUACGGACGGGCUAGAGUUCGGGAGAGGAGAGUGGAAUUCCCAGUGUAGAGGUGAAAUGCGCAGAUAUCAGGAGGAACACCGGUGGCGAAGGCGGGUCUCUGGGCCGAUACUGACGCUGAGGAGCGAAAGCGUGGGGAGCGAACAGG